rnacentral:rRNA from 1 species
GAUGAACGCUGGCGGCGUGCUUAACACAUGCAAGUCGAACGGAACUUGUUGGAUCAAGACUUCGGUCAAGUGAAUUCAAGUUUAGUGGCGGACGGGUGAGUAACGCGUGAGGAACCUGCCUCGGAGUGGGGAAUAACAGUUGGAAACAGCUGCUAAUACCGCAUGAUGUAUACGGAUCGCAUGGUCUGUAUACCAAAGAUUUAUCGCUCUGAGAUGGCCUCGCGUCUGAUUAGCUUGUUGGCGGGGUAACGGCCCACCAAGGCGACGAUCAGGAGCCGGACUGAGAGGUUGGCCGGCCACAUUGGGACUGAGACACGGCCCAGACUCCUACGGGAGGCAGCAGUGGGGAAUAUUGGGCAAUGGGCGCAAGCCUGACCCAGCAACGCCGCGUGAAGGAAGAAGGCUUUCGGGUUGUAAACUUCUUUUGUCAGGGACGAACAAAUGACGGUACCUGACGAAUAAGCCACGGCUAACUACGUGCCAGCCGCCGCCGUAAUAC